rnacentral:rRNA from 1 species
AACGAACGCUGGCGGCGUGCCUAACACAUGCAAGUCGAGCGAGAAAGUGGCUUCGGCCAUGAGUACAGCGGCGAACGGGUGAGUAACACGUGGAUAACCUGCCUGGAAGUGGGGGAUAACUCGGGGAAACCUGAGCUAAUACCGCAUACGCCUUCCGGAUCUCGGUCCGGAUUGGAAAGGUUGCCUCUUCUUCGAAAGCUAUCGCUUCCAGAGGGGUCCGCGUCUGAUUAGCUAGUUGGUGAGGUAACGGCUCACCAAGGCGACGAUCAGUAGCCGGGCUGAGAGGGUGGUCGGCCACACUGGAACUGAGACACGGUCCAGACCCCUACGGGAGGCAGCAGUGGGGAAUAUUGCGCAAUGGGGGAAACCCCGACGCAGCAACGCCGCGUGGAGGAUGAAGGCCUUCGGGUCGUAAACUCCUGUCAGGUGGGAAGAAUAGGUUGCAGCAAGCAACUGCAACCCUUGACGGUACCACCAGAGGAAGCCCCGGCUAACUCCGUGCCAGCCGCCGCGGUAACAC